rnacentral:misc_RNA from 1 species
CCGAGUUUACAACUCCCAAACCCCUGUGAACAUACCUAUUGUUGCCUCGGCGGGCUGUCGGAACAGGCACCGCCAGAGGACCCCAAACCCUGAUUACAUUAAAGAAUUCUUCUGAGUAACCGAUUAAAUAAAUCA